GCGCGCCGCGGCUGGACGAGGCGCCGCGGCGGGUGAGUGGCGCUCCGCGUGGCCCGCCCGGCGCCGGGCGCCGCGCGCGCGGCGGCGGCUCUGGACGCGCGCGCCGGCCCUUCCCGUGGAUCGCCCCAGCUGCGGCGGCGCCGCCCCCCCCUCCCGCCCGCCCUCCUGCCGCGGCCGGCGCCCCAGCGGCGGCCGCCGCCGCCGCCGCCGCCGUCGUCGUCGCCGCGCCGCCGCCGCCCCGCCGGUUCCCGCCGGCGGGGUUCCCCGCGGCGCGGUGGGCGGGCGCGCCGGCCGGCCGGGCGCGCGCUGCGGCCGCGGCCGGCGCCGGCCGAGCGGUUCGCGCGGGGAGGGUCCCCGGGGGUCCCCGGGGCGGCGCCCGCCUCGGCCGGCGCCUAGCAGCCGGCUUAGAACUGGUGCGGACCAGGGGAAUCCGACUGUUUAAUUAAAACAAAGCAUCGCGAAGGCCCGAGGCGGGUGUUGACGCGAUGUGAUUUCUGCCCAGUGCUCUGAAUGUCAAAGUGAAGAAAUUCAAUGAAGCGCGGGUAAACGGCGGGAGUAACUAUGACUCUCUUAAGGAGACUUAAGUGAGUUUGGUUACAACUGGGCAUAGCUGCAGAGACCGCGCCUCCUCGUGGCCCCGCUGGUAAGCCCUUAACAGGGUGACUAAGUCGGUCUCUGCCCCAGUCCGGGGUCGUUGGGACUCACCAGCCCAACGACUCCUUCCAAAUUUCGGUGAAACAAAUUUCUCGGUGCAAGUCGCAAGGCUUGUUACCCGAAACCUAGCCCCCCGGUCGGUCAGGGGCAACGGGUUCGGAAGUGGGAUGGCCACCCACCCCGUUCCCGCAAACGAAUCCGGCCAUGAAUCUGAUCCAUUCCUUGUAGGGAGGAGCUGUGGACAACCGGCGCGCCUUACUAGGCAAUCGGUUGGCACCCAGACCUCCCGAGAUGAUAUUUUACCAUCUAAUACCACCAAAUUGACAGAGAAUGAAUUGGGCUUGCUGGUGAAUUUUUCUUUAGAAUUAUAUAGGUCAGAUCUGCAGGGAUUUGGGCAGGAGGGGGUUCAUUUUUCUGUGAAUAGGGAGGUGUUAGAGGGGUUUCCUGAGGUGUAUGAACAACUUGCACCACAACCGGUAGAAGGGGACGAUUUAAACACCAGUCUCCCACCGGACAAUAAUAUAUGCGUACUUGAGAAGGGUAGCAGUGAAACAGUGGAGGAUGGCACACCGGAGGUAGCGCCCCCCGUGCCUGAAACCCAGGGGAAGGAGUCACCGAAUAACAUCGUGAUGGUAACUCUUCCCGACAAAAAUCCACCAUGUCCUUGCUGUAGGGUCAGACUGCAUUCAGUACUGGCUCUGAUUGAACAUCUUAAAGGGUCGCAUGGGAGGAAGAGGGCAUGCUUUAGGUGUGUCAAGUGUGGGAGGGAGAACUUUAACUAUCAUAGUACUGUUUGUCACAUCGCAAAAUGCAAGGGACCAAAAGUUGAGAAGGCCCCAGUGGGAGAGUGGAUCUGUGAGGUAUGUGGCAGGGACUUUGCAACUAAAAUCGGUCUGGGUCAACAUAAAAGAUUGGCACAUCCCUUGGUUAGAAACCAAGAAAGGAUCGAUGCUUCCCAACCGAAGGAGACAUCAAACAGAGGAGCCCACAAGAGAUGUUGGACAAAAGAGGAAGAGGAGCUGCUGAUAAAGUUGGAGGUACAGUUCGAGGGACACAGAAACAUCAAUAAGCUUAUCGCGGAACACUUAACAACUAAAACAUCCAAACAGAUUAGUGAUAAAAGGAGAAUAUUACCCAGAGAACAACUAUCAAAUCUAAGUAAGGGAGUGGCUGGACAGCAGGGGCUGGACCCAGGACUGAGUCAUCAACCCCAGCUGGGGGUAGCUGACAAUGGACUUGGUGGGGGUCAUCUGCCAGGGGGGCCAGCUGCUGAAGGAAGAACAAUAGAGCCAUUAGGACACCACCUUGAUAAGGAUAACGGUCGCCGGGAAAUCGCUGACCAGCAGAAGGCAGGGAGGCUGCAGGCCCAUUACCGAAAGAAGAUAAGGAAGCGCCUUUCAGAAGGGAUGAUUAGCAACUUCCCCGAAGUGUUUGAACAACUACUGGACUGCCAGGAAGCACAGCCAUUGAUCAAUCAAGCGGCGCAGGAUUGCUUUGGUUGCCUGGACUCAGCAAGUCAGAUAAGGAAGGCGCUCCGAAAACAGAACACAAAGAAAGACCAGGGGGAUCAACCCAAAAGACCAGCUCAGAAGUGGAUGAAAAAGAGAGCAGUUAAGAGGGGUCACUUCCUCCGCUUCCAGAAAUUAUUUCAUCUUGACAGGGGGAAACUAGCAAAGAUUAUUCUGGACGACAUAGAAUGUUUGUCCUGUGAUAUACCACCCAGUGAAAUUUAUUCGGUAUUCAAAGCCCGAUGGGAAACACCUGGACAGUUUGCUGGCCUUGGGGAUUUUGAAAUUAACAGGAAGGCGAACAAUAAAGCCUUCAGGGACUUAAUUACGGCCAAAGAAGUUCUCAAAAAUGUGCGGGAGAUGACCAAGGGCUCGGCCCCAGGUCCAGAUGGGAUCGCGCUCGGGGACAUCAAGAAGAUGGACCCUGAGUACGCCCGGACCGCCGAGCUCUUCAACUUAUGGUUAACAUCUGGUGAGAUCCCGAAUAUGGUGAGGGGGUGCAGGACUGUGUUAAUCCCCAAAUCGUCAAAACCGGACCGUCUGAAAGACAUCAAUAACUGGAGACCCAUCACGAUCGGAUCCAUCUUGCUGAGACUUUUCUCCAGGAUCAUAACGGCGAGGUUAACAAAGGCGUGCCCCCUCAACCCAAGGCAAAGAGGCUUCAUCAGUGCGGCAGGAUGCUCCGAAAACUUGAAGCUCCUGCAAACCAUAAUUCGGACUGCCAAAAAUGAACACAGACCACUGGGUGUUGUAUUCGUGGACAUCGCCAAAGCCUUUGACACCGUGAGUCACCAACACAUCAUACAUGUAUUGCAAAGGAGGAGAGUGGACCCCCACAUCAUUGGAUUGGUGAAAAAUAUGUACAAAGACAUCAGUACGGUCAUCACCACAAAGAAGAACACAUACACGGACAAAAUCCAGAUCCAGGUUGGAGUGAAGCAAGGUGAUCCGCUUUCGCCCCUUCUAUUCAACCUGGCGAUGGACCCCCUGUUGUGCAAGCUGGAAGAACACGGCAAAGGAUUCCACCGAGGACAGAGCAAGAUAACAGCGAUGGCAUUCGCUGAUGACCUGGUCCUGUUGAGCGAUUCCUGGGAGGACAUGAAUGCGAACAUUAAGAUACUGGAGACCUUCUGCGACCUCACCGGUCUCAAAACACAGGGUCAAAAGUGCCACGGCUUCUACAUCAGGCCUACAAAGGACUCUUACACCGUCAACAACUGCGCUGCGUGGACCAUCAAUGGCACACCCCUGAACAUGAUCAACCCCGGGGAAUCGGAGAAAUACCUCGGCCUGCAGUUUGACCCCUGGGUGGGAAUUGCAAAGACCAGCCUCCCCGAGAAACUGGACUUCUGGCUCGAGCGCAUUGAUCGAGCUCCACUCAAACCAUUUCAGAAACUGGACAUUCUUAAGACAUACACCAUACCUCGACUGACCUACGUAGCUGACCACUCAGAGAUGAAAGCGGGGGCCCUCGAAGCCCUUGACCAGACAAUUCGAUCGGCGGUCAAGGACUGGCUGCACCUACCUUCGAGCACCUGUGAUGCCAUCUUGUACACGAGCACGAAGGACGGUGGUUUGGGAGUGACCAAAUUGGCGAGUUUGAUUCCGAGUGUACAGGCCCGGAGGCUGCACAGGAUUGCGCAGUCACCGGAGGGGACGAUGAAAGACUUCCUGGAGAAGGCCCAGAUGGAGAAGAUAUACGAGAAAUUGUGGGUCCAAGCUGGAGGGAAAAGAAAGAGGAUGCCGUCAAUUUGGGAAGCGCUCCCGGUGGUUGCUCCAUCCAUAGACACAGCCACAACUUCGGAGUGGGAAGCACCGAACCCUAAAAGUAAGUACCCUAGACCUUGUAAUUGGCGCAGAAAAGAAUUUAAAAAGUGGACUAAAUUAAUAGCCCAGGGCCGGGGAAUUAGAUGUUUUAAGGGGGACAAGAUUAGUAACAAUUGGAUUCGACAUUAUAGAUACAUACCUCACAGGAAACUCCUCACUGCCAUACAGCUCCGGGCCAGUGUGUACCCCACAAGGGAAUUUCUCGCGCGGGGGAGGGAAGAUAACUGUGUUAAGUCUUGUAGGCACUGUGAGGCGGCAGAGGAAUCCUGUGCCCACAUCAUCGGCAUGUGUCCAGUCGUGAAGGAUGCCCGAAUCAAGAGGCACAAUCGCAUUUGCGAGAGGCUGAUGGAGGAGGCGGGGAAGAGGGACUGGACGGUGUUUCAGGAGCCGCACAUAAGGGACGUCACCAAGGAGUUAUACAAACCGGACCUGAUAUUCGUGAAAGAUGGCCUUGCACUUGUGGUGGAUGUUACAGUACGGUUUGAGUCAACCAAGACAACGUUGGAGGAGGCUGCUGCGGAGAAAGUGAACAAGUACAAGCAUCUGGAGACCGAAGUACGAAACCUCACUAACGCCAAGGACGUUAUUUUUAUGGGGUUUCCCCUUGGAGCGCGGGGACAAUGGUACAAUAAGAACUUUGAACUUUUGGACACUCUUGGCCUCCCAAGAUCGAGGCAGGACAUUAUUGCAAAGACUUUAUCCACGGACGCGCUCAUUUCAUCUGUGGACAUUAUACAUAUGUUUGCUAGUAGAAGCAGAAGACAGCAUGCUUAGGGUAGAUAAUCUUUGUAUAGUGGGGGGGAUUUUAUGUACCGGGUUUCUUGUAUUUGAUUUUUCAAUAAAAUAGACGGUAGCUAGGUUCGCUAGGCAGCCACAAGCCAAAGGUAGGUAGGGUGCUCAUAGUGAGUAGGGACAGUGCCUUUUGAUUCACAACGCGUCAAUACCAUCUGACACGGAUACCCUUACCGGACUUGUCAUGAUCUCCCGGACUAGUCCAAGGUGGACGGGCCA
rnacentral:rRNA from 1 species